GAUGAAGAACGCAGCGAAAUGCGAUACUUGGUGUGAAUUGCAGAAUCCCGUGAACCAUCGAGUCUUUGAACGCAAGUUGCGCCCGAAGCCAUUAGGCCGAGGGCACGCCUGCCUGGGCGUCACACGUCGUUGCCCCCCCAUCUACUCCUUCGGGAUUGCGGGGGGCGGAUGAUGGCCUCUCGUGCGCCUCGUCGCGCGGUUGGCCUAAAUGCCAAGUCCUCGGCGACGCACGCCACGACAAUCGGUGGUUGCGAAACCUCGGUUGCCUGUCGUGUGCGGUCGUCGCGCAUCGAGGGCUCGAAAAAAUUGCCGGGCUUCGGCUCGACUUUCAACGCGACCCCAGGUCAGGCGGGGUUACCCGAUGAAUUUAAGCAUAUCAAUAAGCGGAGGA
rnacentral:misc_RNA from 1 species